CUCUAUACGGAGUUACAAAGGACGACAUUAGACGAAUCAUCUGGAAAGAUGAAUCAAAGAAGGUAAUAAUCCUGUAGUCGAAAAUGUUGUCUCUCUUGAGUGGAUCCUGAGUACGACGGAGCACGUGAAAUUCCGUCGGAAUCUGGGAGGACCAUCUCCUAAGGCUAAAUACUCUCUAGUGACCGAUAGUGAACCAGUACCGUGAGGGAAAGGUGAAAAGCACCCCGGAAGGGGAGUGAAAUAGAACCUGAAACCGUGUGCUUACAAGUAGUCAGAGCCCGUUAAUGGGUGAUGGCGUGCCUUUUGUAGAAUGAACCGGCGAGUUACGAUUUGAUGCAAGGUUAAGCAGUAAAUGUGGAGCCGUAGCGAAAGCGAGUCUGAAUAGGGCGUUUAGUAUUUGGUCGUAGACCCGAAACCAGGUGAUCUACCCUUGGUCAGGUUGAAGUUCAGGUAACACUGAAUGGAGGACCGAACCGACUUACGUUGAAAAGUGAGCGGAUGAACUGAGGGUAGCGGAGAAAUUCCAAUCGAACCUGGAGAUAGCUGGUUCUCUCCGAAAUAGCUUUAGGGCUAGCCUCAAGUGAUGAUUAUUGGAGGUAGAGCACUGUUUGGACGAGGGGCCCCUCUCGGGUUACCGAAUUCAGACAAACUCCGAAUGCCAAUUAAUUUAACUUGGGAGUCAGAACAUGGGUGAUAAGGUCCGUGUUCGAAAGGGAAACAGCCCAGACCACCAGCUAAGGUCCCAAAAUAUAUGUUAAGUGGAAAAGGAUGUGGCGUUGCCCAGACAACUAGGAUGUUGGCUUAGAAGCAGCCAUCAUUUAAAGAG
rnacentral:rRNA from 1 species